CGAAUGCGUGUGCAGCGCUUCCACUCCAUCCUCACUUACUGCCACCGGCGACUCCUGAAAGGUAUCAAAAACGACUCGCAGGAGCACCGAACACCAGCUUAGCCGCGUAAAGGUGGCCGCACGCACUCUGCCAUAGUGCAACGCCCGCCCUGUCCAUAUUCCUCAUCUCUCUUUUUCCUCUUGUAUUGGCAUUUCUUUGUUUUGUGUGGCGUGCUCAUUCUUUUCUCUUUGACGUUUGCUUACUGGGGCCCACGGACUCACUUUUCCGUUGUCUGUUUUAUCGUUUUCCGUCUGUGAGACUCUGGGGAUGGCUGGCAACGUACGUGCGGUUGACGGCAGAAGAUGAUGGCUAGGCUGAUGGACAUGCCUCUCGUCUCUCUGAUUGUCUUUUGUUGUUUUCGCUCCUCGUUGUCUUCGAUAGCUGAACAUACGCACGCUUUCUCUCUUGCGUGUGUUCGCCUCAUGCAAAUCGCAGUGAUUGCCCGCACUUCACGAAGCUGCUGGAGCGGGGGACUGCUCUUUGCGUGCGCGCCUCAUUUUCUUUCCUGGAGGCGUAUGGGCGUGCCAGCACGGACUCCCAAUCUUUGCUUACUUGAAACGGGAAGGAUCGAUGCUGCGCCCGUCCAGUGCACGACGUUGUGUCUCCCAUGUAGUUGUCCAACUGACGAAUCAUCUACAGCGGAGGUAAUGCCGAUGUGCACGCACUGCUUCGCCUCUCCAAAUCAGCAGCGAAACAAGUACGCGCACACCAGAAGCAAACGCAAAAACGAAGGAAAAUGCACCCCGCGUCGGGGGAACUCUCACACCGAGUGAACUGCAACAU
rnacentral:misc_RNA from 1 species